AUGGCACUUCACCUUUUGGCUAAGAUCAGGUGUAGUAUCUAUAUUCUUAUGAGUUUAAUAUCUGAUAUGUCAUCGAUUUGAGGAUGAUGUAUUAAAUGGAUUUUUGGAGCAGAGAGUUGGGUCGGUAGUUUUCUCAGACCACUCAAUGCAUUGGCCUGCUAAAGCAGUGCUUCCAGGACUGGUGUUUUUCCC